rnacentral:pre_miRNA from 1 species
AAUAUACUCCCUCCGUUCCUAAAUACUUGUCUUUCUAGGCAUUUCAACAAGUGACUACAUACGGAGCAAAAUGAGUGAAUCUACACUCUAAAAUAUGUCUACAUACAUCCGUAUGUAGUAGUCAUUUGAAAUGUCUAGAAAGACAAAUAUUUAGGAACGGAGGGAGUAUAAG